UGGCUUAGAGUUUGAUCCUGGCUCAGAAUCAACGCUGGCGGCGUGCCUAACACAUGCAAGUCGAACGCGAAAGGGGCUUCGGCCCUGAGUAGAGUGGCGAACGGGUGAGUAACACGUGGGUGACCUGCCCUCGAGUGGGGGAUAACAUCCCGAAAGGGGUGCUAAUACCGCAUGACAUCCUGCCUUUGAACAGGCGGACAUUAAAGCCGGGGAUCGCAAGACCUGGCGCUCGGGGAGGGGCUCGCGUCCGAUUAGCUAGUUGGUGGGGUAACGGCCUACCAAGGCGACGAUCGGUAGCCGGCCUGAGAGGGCGGACGGCCACACUGGGACUGAGACACGGCCCAGACUCCUACUGGAGGCAGCAGUGGGGAAUUGUUCGCAAUGGGCGCAAGCCUGACGACGCAACGCCGCGUGGAGGAUGAAGAUCUUC
rnacentral:rRNA from 1 species